ACUGAGUAAUCCUGAACCUGGGGCUUGCUGCCUGCCUAAGCAACCUUUCACACAGUGCCCACUGCUCCCGGUUGCACAACGGGUUUGACUGCCAGCGAUAAACGAUAAACGCCAGGUUUACAUUUGACUCCAGCCACCCCCGGGGCCAGCAGCCUGAUCCUGUAAACAGCACCCAGUCCUUUAGAAAGACUUUCCGUCCUGUCCCGCGGAGGAAUGUUGUGCUCCUGUUUGCACAUCACUAAUCUCUGGUUGGAGCCGGUCCUCCCUCCACCCCUCGAAAACAGGCCAAUUGGGGAAAAGCAACUGUCCUCCUCCUAAAAUCUUCUGGAACACGUUGGCCUCAGAAGAGAAAAAAAAAUAAAAAACAGACAAAAACGCCUCAGUCUGGACCAUGCUUCCAACCUGAACAGGAGUAAAAGGCCAAAAAGUUCAGCUCUGAAUAAUGAACCACCAACUUCUGGAAUGGUGAUGGUGUCCCCUCUAAAAUUCUAAGAGUCCCUCUUCUUCUCUCUCCCCCACCUCUUCCUUCCACCUUCCUCCCUCUUUCUAUGCUUCUUACUUUAGUUUCUGUUUGUUGUGGUAGGAACCUCACUGCUGCCUAGACCUUGCUCUGCAAUCAGCCCUUCUGCCUGAGUCACCUGCAUGCUGGAGUGACAAGGCCAUCACCCCCUACCAGCACACAAGAGGUUUUUAUUUCUUCUUUACUGGGGCUCAGAGCCACGCCGUUGAGCAUUAGGUGUGUGUAAAUGCUCGCCCACUAAUUGCACUGCUGGUCCUGAAGCAGACCUCUAGAUCACUGGGUUGCAGGCCCUAAAUGAUAUCGGCCCUAUCCCUUCUAAGUCAAUAUCUGGCCCAUUAAAAAUCAUCCAAGAAGCUGAUGCAGGAGCCCUGAGAGUUUACAACUAUCCUGGGCUGUAUUGCAUCACCAGGGCUUGUCUCCCAAAACCUAGAACCUGAUAGGAAAAGUCAACUUUAGACCCAGUGAAAUGGAGAUUAAGACAAGAGACUGCAUCUGUUUUUGGAGAAUCAUCUAGU